CAACCUUGCGGCCGUACUCCCCAGGCGGUCAACUUCACGCGUUAGCUUCGUUACUGAGUCAGUGAAGACCCAACAACCAGUUGACAUCGUUUAGGGCGUGGACUACCAGGGUAUCUAAUCCUGUUUGCUCCCCACGCUUUCGUGCAUGAGCGUCAGUACAGGUCCAGGGGAUUGCCUUCGCCAUCGGUGUUCCUCCGCAUAUCUACGCAUUUCACUGCUACACGCGGAAUUCCAUCCCCCUCUACCGUACUCUAGCUAUGCAGUCACAAAUGCAGGUCCCAGGUUGAGCCCGGGGAUUUCACAUCUGUCUUACAUAACCGCCUGCGCACGCUUUACGCCCAGUAAUUCCGAUUAACGCUCGCACCCUACGUAUUACCACGGCUGCUGGCACGUAGUUAGCCGGUGCUUAUUCUUACGGUACCGUCAUUAGCCCCCUGUAUUAGAAGGGACCGUUUCGUUCCGUACAAAAGCAGUUUACAACCCGAAGGCCUUCAUCCUGCACGCGGCAUUGCUGGAUCAGGCUUGCGCCCAUUGUCCAAAAUUCCCCA
rnacentral:rRNA from 1 species